GUCUAUGGCCAUGCCACCCUGAACAAGCCCGAUCCUGUCUGAUCUCAGAAGCUAAGCAGAGUUGGGCCUGGUUAGUACUUGGAUGGGAGACCGAUUAGGAAGACCAUUAGUACUUGGAUG
rnacentral:rRNA from 1 species